GUCUAUGGCCAUACCACCCUGAACGCGCCCGAUCUCGUCUGAUCUCGGAAGCUAAGCAGGGUCGGGCCUGGUUAGCAGUUGGAUGGGAGACCGCCUAGGAAUGCCGGGUGCUGUAGGCU
rnacentral:rRNA from 1 species